UCCUUAAUUUUGCCAGACUGGAGACACUCAUUUGGCAUGCUCAUGCUUCUUUAACCCCCUGAACUUGCAUGAAGAUUUCCUCUUCUGCAGUGAAAUAGGUAAUAUGUUCACAGAGGGGAACCUGCCUGGCUGGAACUGAACUGAAGCAAGGGAUGUUCUGAACUUGGCUGCACAGCUCAAUUGAGGACACCAUCACCGAAGCAGCAGGACAGGAGUGCCAGACCCAGAACGGGGUUGUGGGACAUCAAACUCCGGAGUCUGCAGGGGGAAAUGAAGGACAACAGAGAUCACUGCACAUUGUGAAACCUUCCUGACACACGAAGGCCUUUGGAAGCUGAGGUGCCCUGAGGGCUGCUGGCUCAGAGCAGGGCUGGCCAAGAGGCCUUCUCUGAAAUCCCUUCUUCAGACUGGAAGAGAAUUCCUCAUCUGAUGGUGCACCGGAAACAAAGUUGCAUGAUCUGUUGAUAUUUAUUAGUGCAGCUUUCAGAUAAGCUCCAAGGAGAGAAUGGGUUUAUUUUAGAGGAAUGAAAAAGACAGAAGAAUUUGCUUUGUAUCUUUGCUGCCCAAAAUCACACCUAAAAGAUCCAACUGUGAAAAAUGCAGGUAAUAGACUCUCUGCUGUGUUAGUCAGAGGUAAAAGCCUGCUGGCAACCAGAACACUAUUUCAGCUGCUUGUGAAGUGCGUCACAGGCAAGUCUGCAAAGACAUGUCAUCAUAUCACUGAUAAAGAUUGUGCUGUAUUGAACUGAUCUGCAAACAUGCAAACAGAUUAAACUUGUGUGUGCAUUGUGCAUAUGAGUGCAUCUGGAUUUGUGGGCAAGUGGAGGGACAGCUUUUCAUGAGCUUUGUAGUAAAGUAAGAGAAGUUCGUUGCUCAUUAACUGCCUUCCAAUUGUUCUUUCA